rnacentral:rRNA from 1 species
UCUUCCUACGGGGGGCAGCAGUGGGGGAUAUUGCACAAUGGGGGGAACCCUGAUGCGGCGACGCCGCGUGGGUGAAGAAGUAUUUCGGUAUGUAAAGCCCUAUCGGCAGGGAAGAAUUUAGACGGUACCUGACUAAGAAGCCCCGGCUAACUACGUGCCAGCAGCCGCGGUAAUACGUAGGGGGCAAGCGUUAUCCGGAUUCACUGGGUGUAAAGGGAGCGUAGACGGCCAUGCAAGCCUGGAGUGAAAGCCCGGGGCCCAACCCCGGGACUGCUUUGGAAACUGUGCAUCUUGAGUACGGGAGG